rnacentral:rRNA from 1 species
UACGAAGGGGGCGAGCGUUGUUCGGAAUUACUGGGCGUAAAGCGUGCGCAGGCGGUUUUGUAAGUCAGAUGUGAAAUCCCCCGGCUUAACCUGGGAACUGCGUCUGAUACUGGGAGGCUUGAGUGUGGAAGAGGGGGGUGGAAUUCCAGGUGUAGCAGUGAAAUGCGUAGAGAUCUGGAGGAACACCGAUGGCGAAGGCAGCCCCCUGGGCUAACACUGACGCUCAUGCACGAAAGCGUGGGGAGCAAACAGGAU